UUUUUGGUGCAGUCCAUGAAAUGAAUCCUGAUGAAAUGCACGUAGCAUAUGCCAAACGACUUAAACCAGAUCGUUUCUUGGAUCUUGAUCCUGCUCUACUUCCUACACGCUGUGAGAGAUGUGAUAUUAAGGAUCAUGAUGACUUUAGAAUCACACCAUCUAGGGACACCAACCGUAAUGAAGGUGGUGGUAUGGAAGAAGAGAUGCACAAAAAGAAGAAUCGUGAUGAUGCUGGUGUUAUUGAAGAUGAGACACCCAAAAAGAAGGCAAAAUUUGAAGAAGGCUCGGAGAAGAUGGAUGAUAUGAGCAGUGAGCCAUCUAAAGAAUAAUAGAAGGAACGAAUUCGAGAUCUAGUAUAGAUUAAGACCCGUUUUGAUAUGCAUCAACUAAGAUACGCUAAUGGUAUUUUCUGGCUGAAAUUGAGGGACCUGAGCAAAAAUCUGAAUCAGAGGCUGAGAAAGGACUACAGAUGCUGUUGGAUUCUGACCCUUCUGCACUCGAAGUGGAUUUUCUGGAGCUAAAGAAGCCCAAAUGGAACGCUCUCAAUUGCGUUAAAAAGUAGACAUCUUGGGCUUUCCAGCAAUAUAUAAUAGUCUAUACUUUGCCCGAGAUUUGAUGGCCCAAACUGGCGUUAAACGCCAGACCCUUUUCUGGCGUAAAACGCCAGAACUGGCACCAGAACUGGAGUUAAAUGUCCAAACUGGCACUCAAGCUAGCGUUUAACUCCAAGAUUGGCCUAUGCACGUGAAAGCUUCAAAGCUCAGCCCAAAUACUCACCAAGUGGGUCCCGGAAGUGGAUUUCUGCACUAUCUGCACUUAGUUACUCAUUUUCUGUAAACCUAAGUUACUAGUUUAGUAUAAAAACUACUUUUAGAGAUUCAUUUUGAAACUCAUGACAUUUUUUACAUUCUAUAUUGUAUCUCCUACGGCAUGAGUCUCUAAACCCCAUAAGUGGGGGUGAGGAGCUUUGCUGUGUCUCAAUGGAUUAAUGCAAUUACUACUG